rnacentral:tRNA from 1 species
GCGCCUAUAGCUCAGGUGGAUAGAGCGAGCGUUUCCUAAAUGCUAGGCCGCAGGUUCGAGUCCUGCUAGGCGCA